AAACUCUGAACCAAAUGAAGCUGUAGAGAUGAUGGAGGUAGACUCUUGUCCUGGUUAUGAGAACAGCACCACUGCAGCACAGACACAAGACACAGAGGAGCAGGAAGACCUGGUGUGAAGUUACAGUCAGAUGAUGUUGAAGCAAAGGUGGGACUCACCUGGUGGAAACAGGAAGUAGAACAUUGAUUUCAGCUUUAAAGAUUUUUCUGUUAAUUUUCAUCUUAUUAUUUUAUUUAGCAGCUAUGAAGACAGAUAAAGUUUAAAUCUGUUCCUUUGUUGUGAUUGAUUUUCCUAAGUUUUGUCUCUAUGUGGAUGAAAUGUGCCACAGUGCAGUAGUUUAUUAGUAUUCAGGAUUUUACUGAUAUGAAGAUGCAAAGACAGUUUUUAUUGAAGAGGACCUGAACUUCCUGUAAAUCUCUGGGGUCACUCAUCAAAGCAGAAUGUAGUUCACUAAAUGUGAAGCCUUUUCAGAAUAAAAGUCCAUUGUUGACAGCGUGUGCAACACCCUAAUUAUAAUUUGAGGAGUUUACCGUUGUAAUAUGUCAAAGAUGUUUGUCACCAGUGUGAACUAAUGACACGUCCUGAACUUAAUC